rnacentral:rRNA from 1 species
GACGAACGCUGGCGGCGUGCUUAACACAUGCCAGUCGAACGGAAAGGCCCUGCUUGCCGGGUACUCGAGUGGCGAACGGGUGAGUAACACGUGGGUGAUCUGCCCUGCACUUCGGGAUAAGCCUGGGAAACUGGGUCUAAUACCGGAUAGGAGCCAUUUUUAGUGUGAUGGUUGGAAAGUUUUUUCGGUGUAGGAUGAGCUCGCGGCCUAUCAGCUUGUUGGUGGGGUAAUGGCCUACCAAGGCGGCGACGGGUAGCCGGCCUGAGAGGGUGGACGGCCACAUUGGGACUGAGAUACGGCCCAGACUCCGACGGGAGGCAGCAGUGGGGAAUAUUGCACAAUGGGCGCAAGCCUGAUGCAGCGACGCCGCGUGGGGGAUGACGGCCUUCGGGUUGUAAACUCCUUUCGCUAGGGACGAAGCUUUUUGUGACGGUACCUAGAUAAGAAGCACCGGCUAACUACGUG